rnacentral:hammerhead_ribozyme from 1 species
GCGCUGCUGAUGAGUCUCAGCUAGGACGAAACAGCUGUCCAGUAU